GUACUCUGGGGAUAAGAAGUGAAUAGAACAUAUUUAAGUUCUGGGGGACUCAAUCUGAAGAAGAAAGCAGAUACGGAAAUAAAACAGUGGAAUCACUUGCAGAGGAAACACAAGGAAAUGCUUAUAAUUUUUUCCUGGGGAGGUACCAUGUGAAGGCCUGGGCAUAUAACAUGAAACAAGAAAGAUAAGGCCCGUGCUUACAUAGAACUUGGUGAAGAAUCUAGACCAUAACAAGCACACAGAGAAAACGUAUCACAAAUUGUGCUAAAGUUCUGUAAAGGGAUUAAGAUGAAGUGUCACAAGACUGAAUUAGACAGAGUGCCCUUGAAAGAGUGCCAAUUUUUAGAAUGGAGGGUGUAGAUCCAUCCUUUGCAACUGGUGAGGACCUCCUCAGUAAGGCACUGAGCCAGGAGUCUAUACAGCCAUGCCAGCAGGGAGCACUGUCUUUCAUUGUCUGAUGUUUAUUGCAAACCUGUUCUUUUCAGCUUUUUGUUGUUUCAGCCUAGUCCAAAGACGUUUACAUCCUGGAAGAGAACUUGCUGGCUUUUCACCUCAGCAUGUAUGGGCCAAACUAAUAUAACAAGAAGUCUUGAGAGGAGUCAGCGGCCAAGCUCCAUGUCUUGCAGCCAAACAAUGCUGUGGGAUGGAAGGUGGGAUGUCAUGUGUCUGGUUUACAGCACUCACGUAUCAGUUGGCAGUUAACGGAAGUGCUACUGAUUGGUGAUAUGCCUACUCCCCCUUCACCUUCGAUCAUGAUUGUAAACUUCGUGAGGACAUCACCAAAGGCUGACAUUGGCAACAUGCUUCCUGUACAAUCUGCAGAACAACGAUGGAACAAAAUAAACACCUUUUCUUUAUAAAUUACCCGGCUUCAUGUAUUCCUUCAUAACAAUGCAAAGCAGCCUAAUACAAAUUGUCAGUGAGUAGGCAGAUUUUCAGAAUGUAUGGCUAAUUGGAAUUUCCAUGGUCCUAUAUGAGAAGAGAUUUGAAGUAAUUCCAUAGAAUGUUAUGAGCGCCCUGGGAGAAGAAAAAGGGUGAUUUUUCAGAAGGAAAAGAGUGUAAGAAAAACAUGAAAUUCAAUUUUCCAAUGACAGUUCUG
rnacentral:lncRNA from 10 species